GAUGAAGAACGCAGCGAAAUGCGAUAAGUAAUGUGAAUUGCAGAAUUCAGUGAAUCAUCGAAUCUUUGAACGCACAUUGCGCCCGCCAGCACUCUGGCGGGCAUGCCUGUUCGAGCGUCAUUUCAACCAUCAAGCCCCCAGGGGCUUGUACUGGGGCCCUGCGGCUGCCCGCAGGCCCUGAAAACCAGUGGCGGGCUCGCUAGUCACACCGAGCGCAGUAGCACAUCUCGCUCAGGGCGUGCGGCGGGCUCCUGCCGUGAAACCCCCCACUGUAACCCCAAAGGUUGACCUCGGAUCAGGUAGGAAUACCCGCUGAACUUAAGCAUAUCAAUAAGCGGAGGA
rnacentral:misc_RNA from 1 species